rnacentral:rRNA from 1 species
GACGGGGGGGGCAAGUGUUCUUCGGAAUGACUGGGCGUAAAGGGCACGUAGGCGGUGAAUCAGGUUGAAAGUGAAAGUCGCCAAAAAGUGGCGGAAUGCUCUCGAAACCAAUUCACUUGAGUGAGACAGAGGAGAGUGGAAUUUCGUGUGUAGGGGUGAAAUCCGUAAAUAUACGAAGGAACGCCAAAAGCGAAGGCAGCUCUCUGGGUCCCUACCGACGCUGGGGUGCGAAAGCAUGGGGAGCGAACAGG